GCCAGGCGCGGUAGUGCAUGGCUGUAAUCCCAAAGACUCGGGAGGCUGAGGCAGGAGGAUCACAAGUUGGAGGCCAGCCUGGGCCGCUCAGUGAGACCCUGUCUCAA
rnacentral:sRNA from 1 species